rnacentral:misc_RNA from 1 species
UUGAAUGAAACUCCUGGUUGGAUGCUGUUGUGCUGGCCCUUUGUGGCAAUGUGCACACCUCUGGCCAUUUGUUUCUUCUGUUCCACCUGUGCACUGCCUGUAGACGCACUGUGUCUAUGAUAUUGGUUACACACACGCAAUGAUAUGUGGCAUAUAUAUGUGUUUAUAUAUAUAAAUA